AGCGGGCCCGGCCGCGCUGCCUGACGUCACCGGCCGGGGCGGCUAUAGGCUGCGGGCGGCGCUCCCCGAAGCGGCGGCGGCUCCGCUCUGCGCGCUCACUCCGCGCUGCCGCAGCCCCCAGCGCCCGCGGCGCCCGGGCGCUCCCUCGCUGCCUCCGCCGGCGCAGGCUGCUCUGUCACUUUAGAGCGAGCGUGAGGCUGAGCCGGCAGCAUCCCGGGCAUUUCCAGCGAGCGCCUGCCAGCAGCCAGGCACUGAUUGAAAUUUAGGCGUCUUCAGAGAGGGGAGGAAGAUCCUCAUCUUCCGAAGCCUCCUCAAUGAGUGCCAAGCUCGCCAAGGACUUGAGGCUGUCCCUGCCGCCUUGUCUUCUGAACAGGACAUCUGGCACAUUAAACACCAGCAGCACCUGCAUCACGCAAGUGGGUCAACUCUUCCAGUCCUUCUCAUCCACUCUGGUUUUAAUUGUCCUGGUCACCCUCAUCUUCUGCCUGAUCCUUCUCUCCCUCACCACCUUCCACAUCCACAAAAGGAAGAUGAAGAAGCGGAAAAUGCAAAAGGCUCAGGAGGAGUAUGAACGGGACCACUGCACCCGCAGUAGCAAUAGCAGCAGCCAGCACCCUGGGACGGGGGUGCAAGGAGAGGCUCCCCAAGGAAGAGACAGCCGGCUGGGAAGACCCCCCCCGGACUCGGAGAUCCAGCGCCCCUCUCCCUCGGCAGCCCUGAGCUCUCAGCAAGCACAGGCUUGUUUGGACACAGCUGGUGCGGGGCUCUUGCAGACGGUGAUUUUGUCAUGAUGGUUUUGGGGAGACCUCGCAAAGGCGCUGGUUGGUGUUUGUAAAUACCUGAGUGAUUAUUCUAGUCCCCAAAGAAGAAGAAAACAUUACUAAUUCAAAUGAACGAACAAGCCCAUGAUCCAAGCGCAUGACAGAUCACAUUGCGUUUCUCAUUGACUGUGUGAGGAAAGGAUGCGUCUUUUUACUGGAGAAGGAGCUGCACACAGCUACCAAAUAUCAAGUCGUCCACCUGGAGGAGAGGGCCAGGGGUGGGGGAUCCCUCUUCUCUGGACGUCACUAUGCUGAGGAGCGGGACGAUCCCACUCUCUUGGGAUUCCCGCUGCACCCCGUGUCACCAUUGCAUGACGUGGGUUGGGGCGUGGGUGAGUGGCGUGGGGGGAGAGGCAGGUCUGGCGGGUGCCUUGGGACCCCCUGUCCCCUCAGAGCAGGGCGACAGCCCACCCUGGUCUCUCGUUUUGUGCUAGGACCUAUGCCCCUGUCCCACCCUUCUCGCUCCUUACCAGGACUGGGUAUUGUUUUGUGUAGAAGUGGCCACCCCUAGUUGGGCUUAACCACAAGUGCUCUCGGGCCCCAUGGCCCCGUGCCCCCCAGCUGCAGCACUGAGCAUCCCGCCGUCCGGGGGGAUGCAGUGAGCUGUCUGCACAGAGCGAUGCCCAAGCUUUCCUCUCCCCUCGGCUCCCCUCAUCUUCAGGUGCCCCCCCAUCCCCAUCCCCGUGCCGUGAAACCUGAAACCCAGUCCGGUUUUGUGUGGCAGGGCGAGGUGCUGUGCAGUAACUUGCCCGUCCUCUCCCAGGGGAGGGUGUCCUUGUACCUCCUGUUGGUCCUGAAACAAAUCCAGUUCUGCACCAGGCACCCCGCACUGAACGCCUGCGUUUACAGCUUCGCCUCCCAGCAAGGAAUCCUGCAGCAGUACAGAGCUGGCUUCUACUUUUUUAGGCUGAUACAUAUUUUUAAUUCUCCUAAUCUAGUAGACAGGGACAGACAACAUUUAAUUUUCUCCCUUUUCCCCUCUUGGGGAACAAACUACGCAGUUGUGCAAAAUGUCCGCUCCUAAACCCUGGCAAAUAUUUAUUUCAGAAGUGGCUGGUGUAGUUUUCCCAUAGCAAGCACCAGGAGUUUUUUGUCUGUGGAUGGCAGGUGUGAGUGGCUUCUAGUACUGUGUGUGUUGGAGGGAGCAGUGUCGGGUACAGAAAAUGCAGCUUUGCUUAGCGAUUAAAUCAAUGACCAUUACUUGAAGGUGCCUUAACAGAGUGCCAUAUCCAAACUUUGAAACAUCUUGUGUGGUAUCAUAGCAGAGGCAGCCCUCUACUGUGCAUAUUAACAUCUAAAAAUUACAGCAAAGAAAAAAUGAUCCUGAGGGAUUUCUUCUUCUUCUUUUUUUUUUUUUCUUUCUUCUCUUUCUAUCCUGGCAUUCUAAGUGAUCUGAGGAGAUAGUAAUAAUCCACAGUUUUUAAUAUUUUGUAUCCACUUAUUCCCUCCCUGCUGUACUCUGCCUCCCAGGGUGAUGGUUAGGCUAGAGAAAUCCCAGGCACGUGAGCCAGGAGUGAAUGCCGUUAACCAAUUUGAAAUGGGGAAAGAAGGGGGCAGAGGUGCUCCAUAAUCCUCUAAUAGCCCCAAAAUGCAGAUGUUUCAGGGCAGUGUUUCUCUUACCCAGUUUUAUCCCUUUCCAAUCCUGCCUGGUCUGACAAGAAAUUGCUGUUGAGUUUGGAUCUGUGCCUCCAGCGCUUUAGGCAAGUACUGUAUCAUCCAGCUCAAGGAGCUGCUCCGCCAGCUGAGGUUAGUGUGGCAAGCGUACCUGCGACCCAGUGGGGUUUUGCACAUUGCAGUUUGAUGGGAGCGAUGGCUGGCUCCCGUCACCAGCCGGUAUGAUCGGAUGCUAAUGGCUACUUUGUUGUUGCUGGGCAAGGAAAUUGGCUUUGUUUUGUUUCCCCAAUAAAGGAUGCAUGAACUUUUGUGUUUAACCUCCUUAUGCAACUGCAGCACAGUAUUGCACCACAGGGAAUAGAUUUAGGACAAUGAAGAGUGUUCAGUGAACAGUAAUGGAGUUUCCUGAUCAUUGGUCUCCACUAAAUAGAGAGAUAUUACUUUCCCCUUUAUUUUGUGCCUUUAAAAAAAAAAAAAAACAACAACAAAACCCAACAACAAACACCAGUGUAUAAUUUCAAGUUUUAUAAAAGCAAUAAGAUGUUCCAAAUCACUCCAGUGCAUUUCUGGUUGAUGAUUCCACUUCUUUAGUGUCUGAAGUCAGAUACUCUUCCUUCUGCCUUAUGCACUCAAGGCAUGCAAUAAUUCCCCAGAAGUGUACUGCUUGUCACAUCUCAUUGCAGUUAUAAAAUUGCCCUAUUUUUGAAGAAAAAAAGAAGGAUGGAGAGAUAGAUAUAUAUAUAUCUUUAUAUAUAUUAUGGAUAUACAGGUAUAUAUAUUAUUUAUAUAAUCUCAUGACACUAAAAGUAGUUGCUAAAAUGUAACUAGAAUUAAAAUAUGUUAUCAUGUAAAUCUCUAUCCUCUGUUAAUUAGCUUUGAUUUAAUAUUUUAAUAUCUCUGUAUUUAUGUAAAUCUGUGUAAAUUAUGUGGUCUAUAAGUAAAAUUUCAUACUGACUUUAAUUUUCUCAGAACUGUGAGCUUCUUGUGGUGUCAUUUAAGGUUUUUUUUGUUUCUAAAGUUAAAUUAUACAAGAUAUGAGAAGUUAAAAAUUUUUAUUAUCACACAGAAAUACUGCAAUAAGGUUUAUGCGUACUCCCAGUACACAAUCCUAUCUUGAAGUAUUGCAAGCUUAUGAGGUUUAAUUGAAUGGUCUCAGGAGAUCUAGCUGAUACAAGCAGGACACGUAGGUUUUCAUUUUCAUGAAACAAUAAGCAAUCUAGGGAAUAGAUGUGGAUUUUAAAACCAGAGUUUAUGCUUGGAGGUUCUGUCAAAUCAAUUGCUUCAAAACCCUACAGCUACAGCUAAACUUCUGCACUUAGCAUUCAGUAUUAAUAAGGCUGAUGCUUCUUUCCCCUCCCCCCUCCUCCUUAAACUAGAAAAGUGUAGGAAAUUGUUCAUAUUUCUAAAGCAUACAUUUUCAGCUAACUGUGAAACUGCCCAAAGGGUUUUAAAUAUACAUAUUUUAUGCAAGUGUAAUAUCUAUGUAUCUGUAUCCAUAUAUUUAAAUAUUUUUGUGUGACCUUUUCUACGAUAUUUGAUAGAGAUGCCGGGUAAAUGCUUGUACCAUUCUCGUAUGUAAGGAACGAUUUAUACCCUCUCAGCACGGACAUUCUUUUUCCUGUCAAUUUGCACUGGUUUUGGCAAGUUACGAUGGAGACGGGGCAGCUGAGUGCUGACUGCUGGAAGCACAGCCAGCCUUUCCUCUGUUGAGAGGCACAUCCUCCGGCUGGGUUUUCCUGGUUCUGAAUAAGAAACUUGGCCCGGUUGCCCACGAGCCUCCUGCAUGUGUAAGAAUAAGAAGUGCUGUGGCGCCCAACGGUUCCUGUCCGGUCCAGCUGUCGUCCCGUGGAAGAAGCAUGACAGCAAUGACUUGUUUUGUAGAACCUAGUGAGAACUGAGAGCCCACCGGGCGAUGCGGUGGCAGCACUGGGGCCGGAUCGGAGAGUCGGCGAUGCCUUGUCCUGCAGUUCUGUCCUCGGAGCCUGCUGCUACCCAGGGGCUUCGUCCAGCUCCCGCUGGCAUCAACAGGAGUGGCUUCCACUGACUGCCAAGGGACUUGGAUCCCGUCUGUGGUCCACAUGGAGGGUGACAGCUCUCCACAUCACCACCGCUGGCCAUGCUCUGCACCCGUCCCGGCAGCCUCCAUGGGGAUGGAAACCACUGCAUCCCACGAGGGCUGGGAUGCUCCAGCCCGGUGGCACCGGGGAGCCCGUGCUGCUGCUGUCAGCUCCACUUCUAUGGACUGAGGUGCUUAGGUUUCUACAUGGAUCCUAUGCGGAUCAUGGACGGGGAAUGUCAUUUCAUUAUAAUGUGUCAUUCCAGCCUUUUUUUCUGUGGGGGUUUGUCUGCUGCAAAUGUAGUCUCCGAUUAAAUUUGCAGGUUCUCCAUCCAGACAUGUUUUAGCUUUUGAUACAUCUCUCUCAGACGUAUAUCUGUAUAUAUAGAUAUAUAUCUUGAAAGAAAUACUGGACAAAAAGCAAAGAACAGAGACUCCACAUUGUAUACAAAACUGUCCUAUGACUAAACACGGGGGGAGUGGUGUUGCUUUUAUUUUUAAUUAAUUUUAAAGGCUACUAUCUUUAAUGUAAAUAGCAAGUUACUGUGUGCUUAAUGUUUUCCGUAGCAUUUCUGAGUAGUUGCUAUCUUGUUUCUGGAAAGCUAUGUCCAGUGUUAUGAAGCAACUGUGCUUUUCUUCUUCUACUGUUAUGAAUAUGAGUGCAACUUUUAUGUAGGGAGGAAAAAGAACAUGAUUUGACUCUUUGGACAGGACUGAAUUAUUUUAAAUCCAGUUACAGGACUUGGUUGCUUUUUUUUCCUUUGUAGUGGUUACUCUCUGUGCACGUUUGUAUUUUUUCUAUGGGUACUUGAAACCCUACAUUUUAAUAAGUAUGCAAGAUAUGAAGGGAAACACAAAAAUGAAGUAGGAAACCUUCUUUUUCCUCUUUUGUGUAAAUAGCAAAAUUUAUAAUGACUUAGAUACCAUUUCAUUACAUUUCUCAUCUACAUAGAAGUUGGCAUGACUGAUAUACAAAACUUUAAUAACACCUUCGUUUAUGUUAAAAAUUAGAACUACGUUUAUCCAGGACUGACUUUCUCAUCUCUUUCUGGUAUCUAACCCUUUUUUUUCCCCUGAAGCCAAGUUUUCCAUCUGAUCGCUAAAUAAAUUUCUAGUAGAACAGAGCUUCCUUCUGUUUCUAGUCUUUUACAUGUAGGUCUCUGGUCUGAAUCCAGCCAAAUUCAAUAGUCUAUAAAAUGUGUUAUGAACUUGCAAAAACUGGAUGGUGCACGAGCCUUGAGGAGAGAGGUCACUGUCUGACAAGCAAACAGGUGAAACGCCUGGCAGUGGUGAUGGUUAGCUUUCCCUUGGGAGGUGUGGAAGUGAAGCCUCCCCAUCCACUGCAUGGACCUGGGUGAGGGACGACCCAUUCCAGCCAUGGAGACACAAGUAUCAGUCUCCUUCCUGAUACCAUUGCUCUAAAACAUCAUUUUCUACGUGACAGUAGAUCUCAUUUCUGUAAAUUAUAUGUAAUAUAUUUCGUAUUCAAAUCAAAGAAGUUUUCAUUGCUUCAUUGGUACUAUAUGUUCUCUGUGGAUAACUAGAAGAAUUCGUUUUCCAGCCCUUUUAACCCAGUACCUCCACAAGCUUUUGUAUGAGUUAGGAAAUAAAUAAAUAUUUGGA